GCUGAAAAUUUAAUAGAGAGAAGAGGAACGAAGCACGAGAAAGUGCACAAUAGCCAGCCGCUUGCAUUCCGAGUUAAACGUCUAUUCUCAGAUUUCUCUCCCUCCUUUUAUGGAAGUUGAGGUGCACGUGAGAUCGAGUCCGGCACGUGCUCACUGAGGACCCAGGGUUGGUCAGGAGUGGGGGUGGUCUUUGCUAAAUAGUAGAAGUGGAGCCGAUGACGUAGCAGCCGAGUGUCGACAUCUAACGAAGAGUUUUGGGAAGUUUCGGUUGAAAGAUAAGACGUUCCAAGAUGUCCGACGACGAAAGA